GGUGUGAUGGCCGAGCGGUCUAAGGCGCCAGAAUCAGGAUCUGGUCUCUCCGGGGGCGUGAGUUCGAAUCUCACUCACAUCA
rnacentral:tRNA from 1 species